rnacentral:rRNA from 1 species
UACGAAGGGGGCUAGCGUUGCUCGGAUUGACUGGGCGUAAAGGGCGCGUAGGCGGUUCGUACAGUCAGACGUGAAAUUCCUGGGCUCAACCUGGGGGCUGCGUUUGAUACGUGCGGACUUGAGUGCGGAAGAGGGUCGUGGAAUUCCCAGUGUAGAGGUGAAAUUCGUAGAUAUUGGGAAGAACACCGGUGGCGAAGGCGGCUCACUGGCCCGUAACUGACGCUCAUGCACGACAGCGUGGGGAUCAAACAGG